GCCAAACAAUUUGGAUCCACAUGGACAUGGUAACUGUCUUUUGCUUAUACACCAUCUGUCCAUCUCUUAUUCUAAAAAGAUUUGGCAUUUCUGCUCCCCAUUAGCAACUCCAUUCUCAUUCACCAUUUCAAUCCACCCAAAAUCCCAUUUCAGAGCGAAGCUAAUUUACAUCACUCAUGGAUCGGCUAACCAGUGCUGCACGUCUCAUGAUAGUCUCAGAUCUAGACCAUACAAUGGUAGAUCAUCAUGAUGCCGAGAACCUUUCUCUGCUCAGAUUUAAUGCCUUAUGGGAGGCCAAUUAUCGUGAUAACUCUUUGUUAGUGUUCUCAACUGGGAGAUCACCUACACUUUACAAGGAGUUGAGGAAAGAAAAGCCCAUGCUAACCCCAGAUAUUACUAUUAUGUCCGUGGGAACUGAAAUAACAUAUGGUAACUCGAUGGUGCCUGAUGAUGGUUGGGAAGCUUUACUAAAUAACAAGUGGGACAGAAAGAUAGUAACAGAGGAGACUAGCAAGUUUCCUGAACUCACUCUACAGUCAGAGACAGAGCAGCGACCACACAAGGUCAGUUUCUAUGUUCAGAAAGACAAAGCACAAGAUGUAAUGAAAACUCUUUCCAAGCGCUUGGAAGAACGUGGGCUGGAUGUCAAAAUAAUUUACAGUGGAGGGAUGGAUCUGGAUAUAUUACCACAAGGUGCUGGGAAAGGACAAGCACUUGCUUAUCUGUAAAAGAAGUUGAAGAGUGAGGGAAAAUUACCAAACAACACCCUUGCCUGCGGUGACUCCGGGAAUGAUGCUGAGCUAUUCAGUAUCCCGGAUGUGUAUGGUGUAAUGGUAGCUAAUGCACAGGAGGAAUUAUUGCAAUGGCAUGCUGCAAAUGCGAAGAAUAAUCCUAAAGUAAUUCAUGCAACAGAGAGGUGUGCUGCCGGCAUCAUACAAGCUAUUGGUCAUUUCAACCUAGGUCCAAGUACCUUCCCUAGAGAUGUUAUGGAUAUGUCAGACUGCAAGAUGGAGAACUUUGUUCCUGCCUAUGAAGUUGUCAAAUUUUACCUGUUUUUCGAGAAAUGGAGGCGUAGAGAAAUUGAGCAUUCUGAGCAUUACCUGUCAAACCUGAAAGCAGUGUGUGUAUACAUCUGUACUUUUGUCCACCCAUCUGGUGUUGAGAAAUCCCUUCAGGAAUGUGUAACUUUAUUCAGGACAUGUCAUGGCGACAAACAGGGGAAACAAUUUCGUAUUUGGGUCGAUCAAGUUUUACCUGUACAGGUUGGUUCAGACUCAUGGUUGGUGAGUUUCAAGAAGUGGGAGCUCUCUGGUGAAGACAGGCGAUGUUGCAUAACUACAGUCCUAUUAAGUUCAAAGAAUAAGACUGUCGCAGAUGGACUCACUUGGACACACGUACAUCAGACAUGGCUGAAUGGAGCUGCAGCAAGUGACUCUACGACCUGGUUCUUUUAGAUUGUCAUCUCAGUUUAACUCUGAUAAGUCAGUACUCAGUUUCCCAGUUCACCCAGAAUAAACGCAAAAUAGAAACUAUAUCAAUAUGCAUCAGUGGCUGCUGGUGGCUUCCGCUUCUUCCUGGCCCGUUCUUGUCUCAUUCUUCUUCAUUGAUAAUCAGUGUAUAACCAUCUAAAGUCUAAACCGUGAAGAUGGCUUCAUCAUUUGUAGUAUAAAAGUUUAUAUAAGCUGCAACAGUUGUAGCUGUCAUUUCUUAUUCACAAUGAGAUUGUUACAAAUUACUGCAUGGUGGCCUCUGAAGGUUGUGGUAUCAUCUUUAAGCCUGGAUCACAUGUAUGUUUACUACGUAAAUUAUAGUGGCUUAUAACA